GGAAAGUGUAAUUACAUGUGUAGCGUUGAAAUGCUCAGAGAUAUGGAGGAACACCAGUGGCGAAGUCGACUUUCUGGUAUGUAACUGACGCUGAUGUGCGAAAGCGUGUGGAUCAAACAGGAUUAGAUACCCUGGUAGUCCACGCCUUAAACGAUGAGUGCUAAGUGUUAGGGGGUUUCCGCCCCUUAUUGCUGCAGCUAAAGCAUUAAGCACUCCGCCUGGGGAGUACGACCGCAAGGUUGAAACU
rnacentral:rRNA from 1 species